CCCGCACGGAGACGACUCCGGGAAACCGGAGCUAAUACCGGAUAAUAACACCGAAGACCGCAUGGUUUUUGGAGUUGAAAGGCGGCCUUUGGGCUGUCACUUGCGUGGGCCCGCGGCGCAUUAGCUAGUUGGUGAGGUAACGGCUGUGACACCAAGGCGACGAUGCGUAGCCGGCCUGAGAGGCCGGCCACACUGGGACUGAGACACGGCCCAGACUCCUACGGGAGGCAGCAGUAGGGAAUCUUCCGCAAUGGGCGAAAGCCUGACGGAGCGACGCCGCGUGAGCGAAGAAGGCCUUCGGGUCGUAAAGCUCUGUUGUGAGGGACGAAGGAGCGCCGUUCGAAGAGGGCAGGGCGCGGUGACGGUACCUCACGGAAACCCCCGCUAACUACUUGCCACCACCCGCGGUAAUACUUAGGGGGCAAGCUUUGUCCGGAAUUAUUGGGCGUAAAGCGCGCGCAGGCGGUUCCUUAAGUCUGAUGUGAAAGCCCACGGCUCAACCGUGGAGGGUCAUUGGAAACUGGGGGACUUGAGUGCAGGAGAGGAGAGCGGAAUUCCACGUGUAGCGGUGAAAUGCGUAGAGAUGUGGAGGAACACCAGUGGCGAAGGCGGCUCUCUGGCCUGCAACUGCACGCUGAGGCGCGAAAGCGUGGGGAGCAAAAGGAUUAGAUACCCUGGUAGUCCACGCCGUAAACGAUGAGUGCUAAGUGUUAGAGGGGUCACACCCUUUAGUGCUGCAGCUAACGCGAUAAGCACUCCGCCUGGGGAGUACGGCCGCAAGGCUGAAA
rnacentral:rRNA from 1 species